AUGAUUUUAUUACUUUGUACAUAUGAGGAAAAUGUAUGGGAUUAAGUGACUGGAAUGUAUUUUUUAAGAUGAAAAGAGUUUACGCCUGAGAAUGACGAAUGCCUUUGCUGACUGCACAUGUAGGUUUCCUAAACACGUUCUAAGAGACUUGUGAUAGUAAUUAAUGCUAAAAACAAUAACAGCACACGAGAACAGCAGUGGAUUCUUGCAUUCUGUAACCAGGUGAACCUUACUUAGAUGCUUGUAGUGAAGGCUUCCUUGUUUAACAAAUGUAGCACUGUCACUUUAAGAGCCACACUAGAUCAAAACACGCGGGAAGAUAUGCAGCGUGUGAGAAUCAGACCAGAAAGGGUGACAUGCACGUAAAGGAGGGUAGUCGCUGAACUGUGCCCACUGCUUGUCCCAACUUGAUACACCCAUGAUCGUCCUCGUAACCCUGGCGAUAUUCAGAGCACAAUAUCUGGAGUGGUUUGGUUUGGAGUUUGAAAUCUACCACUAGUGAGUCGUGUGAACAGCUGUACAGCAGGGGAGAUCAUUUGUGUUUGUCCACGUGCUUUGUACACACCCAACACACCGGAACAUAUCGAGUAAGUGUGGAUGCAUCUCAAAACAUUGGGUUGUAAUGAUUAUUUGUUCUGCACUAAGAAGUAUUGUGGUUUGGAAAUAAUGUGUUUUUAUUUCUGUUUCCCUAUUAAGCAAGCCACUGCUGUUGUCUAUUGUGGCGAAAUUGUCUGUAAUCUGUUAAAUGAUGUUCUUUGAUCUCUUAGAUCCCUUUUCGACCUUUUAAAAUUCAGUUAACAUCUCAGUCUUUCAUCUUAAUGCUGAACAAUUUUUCAUUGUUCAGUCGGGAAUAAAGCCCACCUAAAAAUUA